AACGGUGACGAUGCGCUUAUGGGAAACACUCGUACCCAUCCCGAACACGAUAGUUAAGCCAUAAGCGGCCGAUGGUACUUGGCGGGGGACUGCCUGGGAGAGUAGGAGGUUGCCGUUU
rnacentral:rRNA from 1 species